ensembl:lncRNA
CUCGAUCUUCAAUCAGCUGCCCAUUGGCGACGCCCAUCUGGUCCCAUUCUAACCCCUGGAAACGCAGAUAAGCACCUCGGCUUUCAGCUGACUAAGCUGAUGAUCUGCAGCUGUGCCCUGCUGUCUCUGCCUGAGGCUCACUGAUAGAGCACCUGUGUGGCUGGGCCCAGACCCUUCUGUCUUUCACUCAAAGCCUCCGCUCUGUCGCUUGUGACCACACCAACAGCAGGAAGGGCUGAUAUGGCAGACAGACAGGACACCCAGGGUUCGGUGGUGUGGUCCUUUCACAAUAUCCUGAGCGUCUCUCCCCAGCUUGCGUUCGCUGUGUUUUAAAUUGAUCCAGUCACCCACGUGAGCUACGGCUCUUGCUUUGGUCUGAGAGCCCUUCGGCUUGGUGAUCUGUGGGCAGUGGAGUUGGACGCUAUCCUUGCAGCAAGACUCUUGUGGACAUCAUCCUGAAGAGGCUACGUGUCAGAGAGCAAAGAAACCUGGGCCAGUGUCCCGCCUCCGUCAUGUACUCGCUGUGAGAUGUACUGAGUCACCUAAACUCUGGGCCUCAGUUUCCUCAUUAGUAAAAUGAUGCCUGACCAUGCACUUAAAACAGCUGACGUUUAUUCAAUAACCCCAAGUACAAACAAGGAGUGAACACUAUGAAGAAAAAGAAAGUCACCAGGACCAGAGAGAUAGAUGGAAUCGAGAGGCUGCUAUUUUAGUUAUCGGAUUUCAAAGUCAUCUACAAAUCCACAAGGUGAGUCUAAAGCAGUUACAAGUCACACCCUCGAAUUUCUGUCAAGGCGCCUUAGUCAGAACACAUGGCUCUCUAUCUCCACCUGGUGCCGGUUCCCUUGAGGUGCAGGCGCCUUAACAAAGGGACAGAAACCAGUCUGUGAGCAUAAGAGAUAAUAAAUGUAACUGUUUCUUAUCCCAAUUUUAGCAAAUUUUGAAAAUGGAAGAAAUUAAAAUCUUGAAAGCAUUAAAAGGGUAUUUAUUCAUGCUGGGAUCCACCCGUUUCAUCUGAAGGAUUCCAGGGAACUUAGAGAUAUUAGUCGUGAUUUCUUUGAACUGAGGGCAAUAGCUAGUCCUGUCUUGGAGUCUGGUCCCAUCACUCUGGAUGGCUCUGAGUGAUUCUACAUGUAAACCUGGGGUACAGUUCAUUUCUGGCCUUUUGAUCUCAGUCUAGCCAGAGAAUCAACCAACAAGAUGGGACCUCUCUAGAACUCUGUGGAUCCCCAAGAUACCACAGAUACCCUAGUGUCAAAAAGGAACAUAAAAAACAGUGUAGCUUGAGGCUCUGACUGCUGUUGGACUUGUGUUUAAGGGAAACAGUAUUUCUUGAGUUCUCUGAUGCCAGGCACUGAACAUAAGCCAUCUUUUUCUAUCCCUAAGGAAUUAACUUUAUUGUAAAGAUGGGGAAGCAACUCCUGAGAUUAAGCAUGUUGUCUGAUCAGUCAAAUUCUGGGUUGCAAGCUCCAGAAGAUUACUCUGGCGGAUAGAAGCAGAAUACUAAAAGGAAUUUGGGAAGCUCGCAGAGAACCAGGGCUAAGCUUUGCGAGGUUUGCCUCCAGUUGCUCUGGUCUGAUGAGCACACAACUAGAUACCAGAUUUGCACCACUGCCAUUUUUGUGCAGGUACUCAGCUUCUGCUGUUGCUGUGAGUACCAGGCCUCUUCUGUGCCAGGAAUUCAGCAUUUCAGCCGUCAUGGCACCCACACCCCUUUGUUCUUUUUCUUUUGUCUCAUCAGCUCCCAUGUGAAAAAUUGGCCAAGUGGUCUGAUCAGGAGAGCAUAAAUCUGGGUUUUAGCUGCAAGGGAGGCUGGGAAAGGAUGUGCUGGUAUUUUUCAACUCUUUUGAGACAGGCUGUUUCAGUUCCUUAUCAGGGAGGGAAUUCCCCCUAAAUAGAACGGGGUUCAGAUGCAGGUAGCCAAACAGAGUCACGUACCCUCCAGAGCUGCCAAUCUAUCAUGUCUGGUGCCACUGGGGAGUUGGCAUCUCUUUCCAGAGUCCUUCUUUCUGUCAAUACAAUGAAAGGAGAUGCUGGCUUUUAAAAAUUCAUCAAACAAAUGGAGCAUUGAGUAUUUUCAUCAUGUCACUAAGUGGUGGGGGCGGGGUGCCAAGGUCAGAAGACACGGUCCUUGCCCUCAGGGUGACAGCUUGUCGAGUCAUCCUCGCAUGGUGGUGAGUGGUGAUGAUGGAUGACUAGUGUAUUGAUUGCCUUCUGCACCAGGUGCUUUGGAUCUGUUGUCUCUAAAUCCUGACAACAACCCUGCAAGGAGCUAUUUGUAAUGCCAUUUUUUUUUUCAGAUGAUGACACGGGUGCUUAGAAAGGCUCCAUAACAUGCCCACAUUACACAAUUAAGAAGCAGCAAAUCCUAGACUACAAGCAGAGGUCUGUCUGACCAACUCUGGCCUGGGGAUACUGGGGGCCAGAAGGAUCCAGUAGCUUGACAAAAGUCUGCAGCUGAUGGCAGAGGUGGGAUUAGAACCCAGGGCUCUGACUCUGGUCCCUGUGUGCUUAGCUGCUAAGUCAAGCCGCUAAGACUGGCUUGACAUCUUGUCAUGCCAGGUGUAGGUGGCCUGUCUGCCCCCUCUUUGCAUUUGUUGUUCUGAAGGCCUUUUAUUCAACCUCGAGGUUUAGAACUUGUCCUUUCCAGUCCCAUGUUUUUGAGGGAUGCUGUCCACCUCAGCUGAUUUCAGGAGAUGCAGUGUGUCAUUAAAACCAGAUCACCAGAGACCCUCUGAGGACAGGCUAAGUGAGAAGCAGGACAUCGAGCAGCUAAGCAUGGAGGUCAUUUCCCAUCUGACUUUCCAUCAGGAGGGCUCACUCUAGUGUGUGACUCCUUCAGGAGAGAAGCUCUCGAUAUUACCUCCCCUCUGUGAGAUGGCAGGAUGCUGUCAUCUGAGGGCAGUCACCCUGACCGCCAGUGAGCUCCUUCCCUAAAGGACAGGGACAGACUGCUUUCUUUAAAAAACAAAAAGUUGCUGUAUUCAUACCAACUAUUAACAUAUACACACAAAUUGUAAAGCUUAAGUAUACAAGUCAUCACAAAUCGAUGGCAAUUCAACAUCUGGGGCUAGUGGCCAGAAUGCUCGAGCGGGCUGGGACCAGAUCAGACUCCCACGGUGGAGAGGGCAUCUUCAGAGGUGAGGUGGCCAGGACAGGCUGCUGGUGGUGAUUAAUUUCCUAAUGAGGUAAAAGGACUCUGCAGAAGGAGCAUGCUCAGAGCCUUGGUGGGAGAUGUUUUGUGAGUGACAUGAUGAGGACAUGACUCCCAACUGGACAGGUCUGGGAGCACUGAGGGCAAAAAAGGAGAGGAUAUUCUGAGAGAAGUUGGGGGAAAAAUAGACUGAAUUAGAGGAGUUGGUUCUUUACAUCUUUCUCUCCCACCUCCCAUCACUGGUCCAGCUUCCACCGUAGUGAUGUAGCCUUAGUUUUCAUUUGCCUGUUAAUGUACCCAUGGUCUGUACGUAAGUGCUUAAAUAUGUUUAUAGUUGUUGUGUGAGCAUUACUGGAUCAUUUCUAUUCAGUUCCUGUAAAUGUGAGCCUAUACCACCUUCUCCCCUUUCAUCUCUCUCUCCCCCACACACAUACAUACACACCACCCGUGAAAACCUCAGAUCUAUUUGCUGCACCCUGGGGAUUGCUUUGUCUUUGAGAGGCCAAAGAGAAAAACCCAUCAGCCGUCAAAGAUUUUAAUUAUUUAUUUUUAAUUACAUAAGCAAUGCAUGAAUAUGUUCUGGUUGUAAAAAAUUCACAUGAUACAUAUAAAAUUAACGUCUCCUCCAAGUGAAGAAUUUUAAAUAGCUCUAGUCCUCACCUGUCAGACCACAGGUCUGCCGUGGACCAGUUCCAGGGGAUUUGGGAGAACCAGGAAGGGGGUUAAGGCAGUAUGGAGCCCUUGUUAUACAGGGAAGGGUGGGAAAGCUGGGGUCACUUGUUAAUGAAAUGGGGGGUUCUCUAGCUGAACCUACCCUUUCUGUUUAGAAGCUGUGGACUCUGCCAGGAAUAUUCUCUUAGGUUUUUGCAGUUUUCUUUUCAAGGAGUGAGGAAGAGGAUGUGUGGGCCCCUGCUCCUGUAUAGAGAUUCACUGUCUUCUCUAACACAUGCUGCUUUAAGGCAGUCGGCAUCAGAGGCAACUGCUCAGCAUCUCGGCCCAAUGGCUUCUCUCCAGGGAGUUGCCUUCCCGGCUCAGACAGAAGAAAGAAUCUUCCUCACACAUCCUCUGUCCCAUCUGACUUACUGAAGUUUUGUGAUAUUGGCUCAUACCCUCCUUUAGUUUGAAGGACCUGGACCUACUUGGCCGUAGCAAGCAGGAAGACUUUAGUCAAGUACAUCUCUUCUCAUCAAUGUUUUAUUAAUGAGUAUUUCCCUAUGACUCAAUUUACCCCUUUUCACAUCUGCUGCAGAACCAAAUGGAGAUAAGCCAAAGGUUUAGGAGGAGGGGCCAGAAGGGCACUGAAUCAAAGAGAGAUUGAAGUAGGAAAGAACCUUGGAGACCAUUAACUUAGUGCCUCACUUUACAGGUGAAGACACUGAAGGCUGGGGAAGUUUGGCCUAAUGCUCCAAGUUCCACAGGCAGGGUUAGAAGCAGUAGGAGAACCAGGAUUCCCAAUUCCAGGCUCUUAGGUCAGUGCUGUGUCUACUACCCCAAGUCAGAGUCCAAGCUGUCACUGAGAUCCACCUGCAGGACCUGGGCACGUCGUGACAAUUCUUGGUCCCAGUUGCCUCACCACUCCUAUCUACUUUAGAUAAGAACAACUGCUAAGAACAUCAUGAAAUAAUGACUAGGUGCCUUGCAAAUCACCAAGCAAUUUUCAAGUACAAAAAGUAAACUGCAUUUCGGCUAUUGGCAAGACAAACCUCUUCAUCAUUCAAUCAAAAAUCAUCACCUACCUGAAUAAACUUUUUCGGGAAUCUGAUCAGAAAGGUUUGCUUUUCAGUUUUGCUUUGUGUUUUUAACUUCCUAGAAACAUGGUUAUGAACUGAGUGUUGUAUGAUCUUAGGAAAUUAUUUUUAAUUCAGUUGUUGUUGUUCAGUCCCUAAGUCAGGUCCCACUCUUUGUGAGCCUAUGGACUGCAGCACACCAGGCUUCCCUGUCUUGCACUAUCUCCCAGAGUUUGCUCAAACUCAUGUCCAUUGAGCUGGUGAUACCAUCCCACCAUCUCAUCCUCUGUCGCCCCCUGCUUCUCUUGCCCUCAAUCUUUUCUGGCAUCGGGAUCUUUUCCAAAGCGUUUGCCCUUCACAUCAGGUGGCCAAAGUAUUGGAGCUUCAGCAUCAGUCCUUCCAAUGAAUAUUCAGGGUUGAUCUCCUUUAGGACUGACUAGUUUGAUCUCCUUGACAUCCAAGGGACUCUCAAGGGUCUUCUCCAGUGCCAUAAUUUUAUUUCAGUUAGGUGUGAUCAUAAUGUUGGGGUUACGGCCAGGAUGUCAUUAAUUUGGAGGACUGUGUGACACAGUGUUUCUGAGUUAUUGUUUAGGUGUUACAGAUCAUGUCUGUAAUUUACUUUUUAAUGGUUCAGCAAUUUUAGCUGCAGGCUUGUGUGUGUAUACACACAUAUGGUCAAAUGUUAAUAUUUGAGUCUUGGGGGUACGUGUGAUCUGUGCCUGGCGGUUGAGUAGACUCUUAGUCUAACUUCCUAUAUGUUUGAGAGUACUUUUUAAUAAAAUGACUAGUAAAACAAGUUUUCCAGGUGAUCCUGAUCUUCUCUAAUGGUUUGAGCCCAUUGAUGUGGAGCUGUGAGCCACUGACCAACGACAAUGUGUGAGUGGAAAAAUCUUCUUAAUUCCCUGCUUGGUGUCUUGUCAAAUUGGAAUCACUUUUCCUCAGCAGUACUGGUGAGGUUCUAUUUCCCGUGGCUGUGUGUCUCUGUCUGAGUCAUCUAUCCAACCAAAGCACUGGAAUGUCAAACCAUCUCUAAUAUUUCCAGGCAGAUCUAGAGGUGACAUUGACUCAACUUGAAGGUAUUGAUUAGAACAGUGGUUCCCAAACCAAGGUGCCAAGGAACGCCACCCAGAGAAUUUCAGCAGGCUUAGGAUGAGACACAGGCAUCUGAUUUAAUAGCCAUCAGAGGUAAUCCUGACACAUCUAUAUCUGAGAGCCAUAUUUUAGACUACAAUGAUCUUAAAGCCAAGUUCAUGGGUUUGAUUCCAAACUGAAGAGCUAUUUAAUUUUGCAGGAAGCAGAGUUGUGUUCCUUAAUGAUAUCCUGCACAUCUCACUCUAUUCUAUCAUUUUUUAAAUAGGGGUCCUGGUGGGAAAAAGUGAAAAAUAAAAAGGAAACAGGACAAAGAAGGUGAAUGGAUCAGAGCAAUAUACUAUUGUAAACACAUACAUAAUUUAUUCCCCCUCUUACUAGAACCUGAUGCAGUCUAUCAUAGAGGUGGCUGCGUUUUGUUGGUGAGAAAAGAGGCUUUCUUUGUUGUUCUCUGAUUACCAAGUAUAUUCCUACCUCAAGAAUUUUGGAUGAAAAGAUAAAAAAAUCUCUUGUUAGUAUCAGUGAACUAUGAUCCAAAUGAACCAUGCUUUUAAUGAAAAACAUUUGAUGGAUACUUACAUGCAAGCCUAAAAGGAGAAAUUGAACCUUGGGAAACCAAAAAAAAAAAAAAAAAAAGAACACUCCCCCCUCACCCAACUACCUGUCUUAUGAACACUUCCUGGGACGCCUUACGCCACCCUCAAAGAAGCCAGGAACCUCCCCGCAGCCCUGGUUUCUGCAGCAGGAACCAGCAGGGUCUUUUACAGGCAUGCCACAAAGCAGCUUCCUGUGUUCUUAUGUAAUACGUCUUUGCAGCUUAAACCUUUAAUUAACCAGAGAUGUCAUCGAGAAAAGUUUGCCAAGGAAGAGGAUGCCUGGUUUAAUUAAAAAGAUCUUUAAUAGUUAUUAAGGAAAUCAAUUUGGAAUUCAGGCCUCAGAGCAGUGAUGGGGGAAGAAGUCACUGAAAGGAACUUUGCCAUCUCUCUGGGUAAUGGAUUUUAACACUUUGAUCUGCAUUGCAUCAAAAUCCCUGGGACAGUGGUCCAGGGGGAGGCAGAGGGAUGCUUAUCACUCAUCAUUUUUGAAUCUACCUUCCAGAUCCAAGAGGCAAGUCUGCCUUAUAUAUGGAAAACCUAACCUUUCUGUUAUGCAGUUAUCCCGGCAAUUGAAGGAAAUAGAAAACCAUUAUAAAUUGAAAAUCUCCUACCUCAUAAGUAUAAGCUAUUUUUUUUUCCCCCAAGAGAUGCAUUAUUUCUCCCUGAGAAUUUGUGCUUGGCCUGUACAUCAGGCAUCUAUUACUGCUCAAACCCACCUUCUUUGGAUCAAGCCAGAAAAAAAAGGGAUUUGGCUCUAAGGAGCACAAGGGAAAUAUUAUUUUCACUUGUCUCAUGAAAAUGAUGACACAAAAGGUGAGCUAGCCAGAGGAUGGGCAAAAUAAAUUGUCUAUGUUGGGGAAAACUGCAAAAGGAAAGAGUUUUUAUUUUUUUUAUAAACAGCAUCCUGCCAACAGGGGGUUAGUUUUAAUAUCAUCCUCUGAGGCAGCCCUGUUGAGUUCAAAUGUUAAAAGCACUUUUCAAAUAAUCUAUGUUUAAUUAAUAUUUGUACAGAACUUAGCAAGGGUAUCUGAAGACAGGUGCAGAGUAUGGCUACAAAAACGAUUUUCUGGUUUCAACGUUAGCUCAUUCUCAGGCAGACUGAAGCACCUCUACCUGGAGUUCCUAUCAUUACUCAGUGGGAACUCAGUGGAAACUGAGAGGAUGGACUAGAUCUUUCAGCACUCAAGCCCGCAUCCUAAUCACCAGCUUACAUUUUCUUGAGGAGAUGAGAACAGGCUGGUAUUUAUUGGUAUUCCUUACAGCAAAUUGCCCAGAAUCUAUGUGUACAAUAUCUUUGUUGAUUGCUUGGCUGAUUACCUGAAACUUCUGGGCUUAUUAGUCCCCGAAACAUCUCAGCUCCCUGUUUCAUUUCGUCUGUUGAACCUAAUGAGGGGUGUCACUUGGGAGAAUUAGGGGUUUGGGGUAGAGGUGUUAUAAUGCAAGCUCUACUGAAGAACUUGUCUUGCUGGAAAUAGAUCAGGUAGCUUCUCUAAGCUCCACUUUCCUCAAUUACAAAAGAAGAAGCAUUGAAGUAGAUGGUCUCCAAGACCCCUUCUGGUUCUAACAUAGUUUGAUCCACUAUUUCUCCUUUGUCUUCACUGGGUGUGUCUGUUCUAAGUUAGUGGACUGAUGGUACACAGGAAAUCUCAGUGCUUAUUGAAACAUUUCUGCCUGAGUACGGAUUGUAAACUGGCAAGCAGGCAGCAGCCUGGAUCCAGUCUGCAGAUCUGUUUAGUUUAGCCUACCUAAUAUUAUUUUGGAGGAAGGGUGGGAAUUGAAUUAGUUUACAACAGUUAAAAUCCAAGAUAUAUCCUGAAGUUGGACUUGUGUUUCUGUUGAGAUGUUGGAAAAUUCUGGUACUGCUUCAUCUUCACGCGUAAUGAUCAAUUAGGAUUACUUUCUUGUGAGUCCUAAAUAGACCCCACCACUUCCCACUGUGUCUCCAACAAGCUGAAUGUCAGUCCCAUUGUUUUCAUUGUGUUUAUGCUGUCCCCGACCUCAUCCCACUUCGUUCAUUCAUGGCCCACAGAGGCAUGUGGGUAGAGGAAGAGAGAGUUGGAGGAAUAAUUAGAAUCCAAUGUCAGGAACCUCCUGUCCUUUGAAGAGACAUCCGUGCCAUGAUGUUUCCUGAGAUGUGUGAGUUUCUAGGUGGAUAAAGUGCCUUCAGUUGGGUGGAUAGGAUCAGACAUCCACUGACUGAUGUGGGUAGCACAAUGAUUUCCCAUUUAAAGCCAGCUCAGUAUGUCCACAUUGUCUCUCUCCUUUGAACAAAUGUUUUGAAUAUCAUUCACUCAGGACAGUGCCCCACAGGAACACUGAGGCUACCCCAAGCUCAGCACAUACACAAAAGAAUUCGAACAGCAAAGACCCUUUGGUCACCUAAAAUGAUCAAUCCUCUUUUAGCAACAUCAGUGGAAUCCCCCUGUCCAUUAGAGUGGCCAUCUGAUUUAUUGCCUAAAAUAGGAAUUUCUUAAAAGUGAAAGGGGGCACUAUUAAUAAUUAUGCCAGGAAAAUACUUCCCUAAACAAACUGGGGCGUGUGGUCACCCUGCUCAAUGUCCAACACUUCCUAAUGACUUGAUUACAAAAAGCUGCCUUUGGCCACAGCAGGUUGUCUUGGGAGCCAGAUUCGUCUCAUUUCUACCCCUGGGACAUGCGUGGCUCCUCUCAUUGUUGAAAUUCCUGCCAGAUUGGAGAGGACUCAUCCAUCCUGUUUCCAUUUCUUCCAGGAAUUGAUCUCUCCUAUCCACUUCUACCUUUCACUGAUGCUCUAAACUUAAGAUGGCAUCACUGACUCAAUGGACAUGAGUUUGAGCAAACUCAGGGAGAUAGUGAAGGGCAGGGAAGCCUGAUGUGCUGCAGUCCAUGGGGUCGCAAAGAGUCGAACACAACUUAGCAACUAAACAACAAGAUUGUCUUUGACUCUCAGAGAUGAUGCACGUGACUAUUAGAUGUGGCUCUCUGAAAUUUGGGUCCUGGGGAAUGAAUGAAAUCUCUGUUUGGAUCUCUCCAUUUGUUUUUCUGCUCCUGUUCCCCUCUUUCAGAGACCCUGCUAGGUAAUUCAGGUUAAAGAAUUUCCCUCUACUUUUCUUUAAGCUAAUUGGGUCAUCCAUUCAUGCUGUUAGAACUUUACAUUUUCCAUGGAGGGAGGGGUGGUCCCUGGCUCAGGUCCCUGCAGGACACCAGCUCUGAAGAUCACACCACUUUCACAACCAGCAAAGGCAUAUCAUUGCAGCAAAAGUGAGUUUUAUACUUGGCAUUUGGGUGAGGAACAAAGAAAGUUUGGGGGCAUUUCAAAUAAUGAAAGAAAGGAGCAGGCUUUUGAAAUGCAAAGAUAUAAAUCCCUUUCCAGGAGGCAAAUUAUACAGUGGAACAGAAGGGGAAUAAAAGGAAAGGAGGGGUUGAGGGGAGUAGGGUGGUGAAAGGAGGUGUUUAAUGGAUAGAGAAAGAUCCAGAAAGGUGAGGCUCAGAUCCCUCAGAUAAAGCCACCCAUCUACUCAGCGAAGAUAAGAGGAAAAGCCGGUUGGCUUUAUUCUUUUGACAAAGAUUCACCAACGUGGCAUAGAGAGGAAGUAAGAGGGUUGGUAACAGCUCAUUCUCAUUUACCACAUGGCCUGAACUAGCCUAUCACUCACUUUAUAAAAAGGAGUUGCAGGAGACACGGGACGUACAGUUUGACAGAAUCUACAGUGGCAAGGAAAAAGAAGAGGAACACAGAGAAAAAGGGAGCUGAUGUAUUAUUUACAGGUUAGAGAACUUGAACAAAGCAGGAUGCAAAAACAGGCGCAAAGACUCGUGUUUGUACGACUGUGGAAUAAAGGCAGACACCUCUGAAUUCUUACUGCUGUACCUUUUGCUGCUGGAGACCUCUGUCAGUGCUGGGCCGGCAUACCUGUGUGUCAGCUCAUCACUGUGCUCCAAUCUGCCCUGCUCUCAGUUACAUUUCCCUGUGGCCCAGAAGGGGUAAAGUUCUCAACAGGAAGCUGCUGGGCCUCUGUAGGUGCAGUCUCAUUAGGCUGGGCACAGAGGGCAUCUCGCUGGUGGUGGCAGGUCUAAUAAGCAUGCAGAUGGAAGACACGCACGCACACACACACUCUCACUGAAGUCACGCAGUGGGCAGAGAGGAGGGGUGUGGGGAAUCGGAUCCGAAAGGAACAAAAGGCCGCAGUCUCUGCAGUGAGCUGAGUGAGAGUGACAGGAGGACAGCUAAAGGCAACCAGAAGCAAAGUGUGAAAACCCACAGCCAAAGGCGCUGGAGCAUAUGCCCUGGACUUCACAGCUUCUUCCUCUUCCCAGCUUACACUGGCUCCAUAUGCUGCUUCACAUAGUGUUCCCGGGCCAUAAUGGGUUUUAUUCCAUAGUUUUUAUACGAACGCGGAUGACUCACAUCUGCUCCAAUACCCAAUUCAGUCUCUAAUGUUUUCGGCUGCUAGGAGAGAACUUGCCAAUUGACAGUGGCAAAAAAAAAAAAAAAAAAAAAAAGAGCUUCAAUUCAGGGAUGAGGAAGGUUACCACCCCAUAGGUGUGAGCUAGAAGGCCUUUGAGAGGGCAGGACCUUAGGGAUGGGAAACAGACCCUGGGAAAUGAGGAAUUUGCUCCAGACUAUCAAGACCUGAGGGUAGACCAUUAAAGGGCAAUAGGACAGUCCUAAUUCAGAAUGUACUUAUUUUCCUUAUUUUCCUGUCAUGUUAAAUCUUUUGCUAGGAGCUUUUCUUCACCAUAUAGACUGUGAUGAGAAAAAAGUCACUUGGAUUAAUCACCAAUGAUAACUAAUCCUCCACUGGGAUCAGCUGUGCUCUGCAUUACUUAAGCUGGUUAUUAAAGUUUUAAAUAUUUGGGGGAAUCCCUGGAUAGGCUGGGAGAGACUUAAAGGGCUGGGCCCUGCAUGGAGACUCAACCUGGCUUCCAGAUGUUUGAAGUCCCAUCUGAAAUCAAUUUCAACCCUAAUGACAGUGACUGGCUUGAUAACCCAAACUAAUAUGGCUUUUGGCUGGAUCAGGUAAUGACACUUUGCAAAACUGGAUUCUCUUGACAGCUUUCAUAGGCCCAGGGAAUCUCCUCCACUUGAAUGGAGGACAAAGUAGUAAUUAAGAAGCAAGCACCUUGAAAGUUGAUAACCGCACUCCCAGGUAUCGCAGGCCCCGGAUGGAGCUGCCAUGGGAGAACCAGGACCUCAGUUUCCCCAGAUGCCAGACAGCACGAAGCACCUUACAUCCUCAGCAGCAGGCAGUGUGUGCUGCUGCAACCAUCUCUAAAGCUUGGCGGUGGUGUUGUGUAACUGUUUGCCAUCUGUUACUCAGAAGCAGCACCACAAAGCGCUGAGCAAUGGACUACGGAGCUGCGGCUCCUGCCUGGAGCUGACAGCAUCUCAGCGACUUGCCUGGGGGUCCCCUGCAGAGCCUGCCGCAGAACACUUUGCAGGCCCCACACCGCAGGUCCAGGGCAAGGCUGCUGGAAGGGAUCCAGGAAGCUCAUGAUACUGCAGAGAGGGGUUCUCUUGCUGCUGCCCCCAGCCUUCCCAGACCGUGAUCUACCUGGACCUUUGCCCAGCCAAAGCAGUGGCUGGGGGGCCUACCCCCACCUUUCAGAGUACAGAGUUCUGAUACAGGCAAAUGGUUCUGUGUGAUGGUCUGAGAGCUCAGCUGAAUCUUGAGAUGGGCUGGCAAGAGUGCUCAGCUUUUCUGGGCUGUUUUAUUUUCUAUCUUUGUUCCCACCCAUAACUUCUUACCUACAGCCUAGCCAAGAUGGGGCUAGGAGGAAAGACUGUUCUGUGACUGAAAGACAAUGUACCAAAUACAGGGGCAGAUGCCUCCAUUUUUGACUCCACUUUUUGCUGGCUUUGUCUUCCUGAAGAGUGAAUUCUGGAGCCCUACUUUACACCUGGCCUGCCUCCUAUGCUGGGCCCUGUGGGGAGAGGCAAAGAGGAUGAUGGCCACAGUAUUAGGUGCAUCACUUUCACCUCACUAACAACUUGAUGAGAUAAGCAUUCUUCCAAGUCAGGCUCACACAUAAGAUGGCACUGUUCCCCAGGGAGAGCAAGGUGUCGUUCUCCCCCUCUUUCAGGGAUCAGAUGAUCAAGUAACACCAGCACCUUGCACUUAGCUUUCACAACUAUUCAUUCACUUGUAAAUCGUCCCCAUUUUACAGAUGAGGAAUCUAAGCCUCCUGGGGUCUCCAUGAUUCACACAGCUAUUGCGGCUGACUGGGGCCAGGAACCCCUCAUCCAGUGUUAUCAGCAUCAUUCCAGCCUAGCUGAGGCCCAUGUAGGAAUCCAGUUCAGACUGUGCUCUGCCUCUGGACCCAAGUAGUUUUAAUCUUCAAGAGGAAGAAGGGUGCACUUCCAAAAGG